UACGGAGGGUGCAAGCGUUAUCCGGAAUCACUGGGUUUAAAGGGUGCGUAGGCGGCACUGUAAGUCAGGGGUGAGAGGCUGCAGCUCAACUGUGGAAUUGCCUUUGAUACUGCGGUGCUAGAAUGAGAUUGAGGUAAGCGGAAUGUGGUAUGUAGCGGUGAAAUGCAUAGAUAUGCCAUAGAACACCAAUUGCGAAGGCAGCUUGCUAGAUCUUGAUUGACGCUGAGGCACGAAAGCGUGGGGAGCGAACAGG
rnacentral:rRNA from 1 species